AGAGUUUGAUCCUGGCUCAGAUUGAACGCUGGCGGCAGGCUUAACACAUGCAAGUCGAGCGGGGAGAUGUAGCUUGCUACAUUACUUAGCGGCGGACGGGUGAGUAAUGCUUAGGAAUCUGCCUAUUAGUGGGGGACAACAUUCCGAAAGGAAUGCUAAUACCGCAUACGACCUACGGGUGAAAGUGGGGGACCGCAAGGCCUCACGCGAUCAGAGGAGCCGAUGCCGGAUUAGCUAGUUGGCGGGGUAAAGGCCCACCAAGGCGACGAUCCGUAGCUGGUCUGAGAGGAUGAUCAGCCACACUGGAACUGAGACACGGUCCAGACUCCUACGGGAGGCAGCAGUGGGGAAUAUUGGACAAUGGGCGAAAGCCUGAUCCAGCCAUGCCGCGUGCAGGAUGAAGGCCUUCGGGUUGUAAACUGCUUUUGUACGGAACGAAAAGGCUCUGGUUAAUACCUGGGGCCCAUGACGGUACCGUAAGAAUAAGCACCGGCUAACUACGUGCCAGCAGCCGCGGUAAUA
rnacentral:rRNA from 1 species